rnacentral:rRNA from 1 species
UACGUAGGGUGCAAGCGUUGUCCGGAAUUAUUGGGGGAAAGGGGUCGUUGGCGGGCUGUCUGGUUGGGUGUUAAAACCCAGGGCUCAACCCUGGGCCUGCAUUCGAUACGGGCAGACUAGAGUUCGGUAGGGGAGACUGGAAUUCCUGGUGUAGCGGUGAAAGGCGCAGAUAUCAGGAGGAACACCGGUGGCGAAGGCGGGUCUCUGGGCCGAAACUGACGCUGAGGAGCGAAAGUGUGGGGAGCGAACAGG